GCAAGUUAAAGAAGAAAACAUCUGUAAUCCAGGGGUAAUCUUUGGGAACAGUUCUUUUUUCUUUCUGUGUACACAUUGAAACGUGUGGAGUUAUCUAAAUGUACUUGUG
ensembl:snoRNA